rnacentral:rRNA from 1 species
UGGAGUUGAAGUUAAAAACUUAUUUGUCACUAUGAUCGGGACAUAAUUUUAUUAAUAUGAAGUUAAAUUUAUUCACGUUUAUGGUUACACCAGUGUUGGAGAUUGGGGAAAAUUAAAAAUUUAGGUUUGUCUCAGUAAGUAGCUACGGAGAUAUUAGAUCUGGUAAAGUUUGUGCCAGCCACCGCGGUUAGACAAACGGGUCAAGUUAAGAUUAUUUCGGUAAAAAAGGAAGUUAAAGGCAUUGUAGUAUAUUUGGAGAGAUUUUGAGUCGUUUUAUAGAGGUGGAAUUUGCAUAAAGUGAUUUAAUUUUUUAUUUUCUUGUUCCUUGAUGCUUCGAGAAUUUAGUGGGAGACCGGGAUUAGAUACCCCGUUAUUUAUUUUGUAAACUUUAGUUGAAUUAGCUUAUUUGGGGAUUACGAGCCUAUCGCUUAUUUAAUUAAUUGUAGAGAUGCUGUGCUUAAAACUCAAAAAACUUGGCGGUGCCUUAUUUCCUUCCAGGGGAACCUGUCCUGUAAUCGAUGGUCCACGGUUUAGCUUUCCUUUAUUUGUAUAAUGAUUUUUUAAGUCAUUAGCAGCUUGUAUACCGUCGUCGUCAGAUUAUCUUUAAGAGUUGUAGAAGUUGUCAGAAAAAUAUGGUAUGGAGAUUCGUCUGUUUUUCUUGGAGCUAUAGUGUUGUGGCUUAUAAGAUUAUGUUGGGAUAGAAUUGAUGUGAGUGUUUUGAUGUCAGAUCAAGGUGCAGCUUAUGUAAAGGUAGAGAUGGGUUACAGUAAACAUUUAUUAUACGGAUCUUGCUUUGUAAUUGGCAAUUGAAGGUGGACUUGGGAGUAAUAUAGAGUUUAUGAAGAGUAGAUAGCUUUUGUGAAUAUGGUACUAAGGUGUGUACAAAUCGCCCGUCGCUCUCGUUGGAAAAUGAGAUAAGUCGUAACAUAGUGAGGGUACCGGAAGGUGUCCUGGGGAAAAU